UACGUAGGGGGCGAGCGUUGUCCGGAGUUACUGGGCGUAAAGGGCAUGCAGGCGGUCAGACGCGUUUUGUGUGACAGCGGAGGGCUUCACUCUCCGAGCAUACGAAAGACGGUGUGACUUGAGGGCUCGAGAGGGACACGGAAUUCCGGGUGGAGUGGUGAAAUGCGUAGAGAUCCGGAGGGAACACCGAAGGCGAAGGCAGUGUCCUGGCGAG
rnacentral:rRNA from 1 species